AUGGGGACACAACUCCCCAAAAACACCGGGGCUGGGGCUCUUGGCGCGUUUCUCCCAACCCGCUUUCGCCCGGAGCGCGUGGCCGGCGUCUUUCAUCGGCGUCGUCGGCGGGGCGGCGGGGUGGCUCAUCCUUUUUCCCCCCCCCUCUGGAACAAAGGGCGCUUUCUUCGCGCGGGGCACAGCACACCUGCCCUCCUUGGCACGGCCCCGCACCGUGCCGCCGCCGGUGCCCGCGGGGCUGGGCGUCCCGCCGGCAUUCCCGGGCGUCUCCAGCAACCCCAGCUCCUCGCCUCGCCCUCCCCAGUCGCUGCGGGAGCCCGCCGAGGCUGCACGCUCUCCCGGCACCUCCGUCGCCUCGCUUUUCACCCCAAAAAUGCCCGAGGCUGCUUAGAGCCGGGGCGCCCUCCCUCUUGCCCUCUCCGUCGCCGUCGCCGCCGUCGUCGUCGUCGCUUCCCGGGUGCCCCCCGUGCGCCGCCGCCCGCCCGUCCCCACUCAAAGGCUGUUGGGAAGGAGGAGCACGGAGCCCCCCAGGCCAAUGGAUCGCAAAAUCCAGCUCCAGCCUUCGGAGAAGAACGUUCCCAGGGCAGCCCAGGCGGUUUUCUGCCUCCUUCAGAUCCCGGAGCCAGACCCCUUCAGUCUGUGGGUUUAGGCGCGACGCCUCGCCGCCACCCGCUGCCGGUGCCGUGCCGCUCGCCGCGUGUGUCCCCCCCACCUCCCCGGUGCCUGGGGGGGGGUGGCGUGUCCCCCCCCAAAUGGACCGAGCCUGUGCUGUGCCAGGUAGCUCGCCGGGUGCCUCGGGGAUGCUCCCCUGGGGACAAAAAAGGGGAGCCCCGAGGAGCUUGGGGACGCCGUGCGGUGGUUUUGGGGUGCUGGGAGGGAGCGGUGCUGGGGUCACGGUGCGGGGUUGGGGAGGGGAGGGGAGGUGGCUCCGGGUUCCCCGUGCCCCGUUCCGGCUCCGUGCCCCCAGCGGGGGCUUGGGCAGCAGCAGGGGACGGGGACUUUGCUCCGCUCUGUGUGCACGGGACGUGA
rnacentral:lncRNA from 1 species